rfam:Solanum tuberosum cultivar DM 1-3 516 R44 scf00016_201, whole genome shotgun sequence.
UUGGAGGAUUUAAAGACUUCAACUUGCAUACUUGGAAGAUUUGAAGACUUCAUCUUGCAUACUUGGAGGAUUUGAAGACUUCAACU